rnacentral:lncRNA from 1 species
UUCAUUGAAGAAAAGAGGAAGAAGGAGAGUAGCAACACAAGCACAACAUGAGGAUACUUUGAUCAAGUCUUGGGUGGUGGAAAGAGAAGCUAGUACAAGGAAGGAGACAAAUGAGUUCCCCCGACGCCAAGGCACGUGGCGACAAAGGGUUCCGUCUCCAUGCUUUUACGUUUUGCCAAACGCGCCCUCUGCUGCCCCCCUGUGAAAAUUGAAAAAG